AUUGAACGCUGGCGGCAGGCCUAACACAUGCAAGUCGAGCGAGUGGCGGACGGGUGAGUAAUGUAUGGGGAUCUGCCCGAUCGAGGGGGAUAACUACUGGAAACGGUGGCUAAUACCGCAUACUAUCGGAUGAACCCAUAUGGAAUUAGCUAGUAGGUGGGGUAAAGGCUCACCUAGGCGACGAUCGCUAGCUGGUCUGAGAGGAUGAUCGGCCACACGGGAACUGAGAAACGGUCCAGACUCCUACGGGAGGCAGCAGUGGGGAAUAUUGCACAAUGGGCGCAAGCCUGAUGCAGCCAUGCCGCGUGUAUGAAGAAGGCCUUAGGGUUGUAAAGUACUUUCAUCGGGGAGGCGUUACCCGCAGAAGAAGCACCGGCUAACUCCGUGCCAGCAGCCGCGGUAAUUC
rnacentral:rRNA from 1 species